rnacentral:rRNA from 1 species
AUGCAGCAGCAGCCACCGCGGGAAAUCCACGCCUACGGCUACAGCAUUGGCGCCGCGCCCGCCCACGGCAUCGGCGUCGUGCCAGCACCCGCCGACGCUUCUCCCAGCCCUAACCAUGAUCAGCCCCAGCCUCCUCCACCGCGCCGCCGACUGAGCCCAUUCCGGAUCUUCAUCCUGGCCUUCGUCGGGGCAUGCGCGCUCGCCGGUGUUGUCGUGCUGCUCGUGUGGCUCAUCUACCGCCCCAAUGGGGUCUAG